GCAGUCUUAGUAUAGUGGUUAGUACAGCUCGUUGUGGUUUGUCCCACACUGAGUCCUUGGCAUCAGCGCCGAGCAGACGGAUGUUCGAUUCCUCCAGACUGCA
rnacentral:tRNA from 1 species